GUGCAAAUGCCUGAACUGUAGCAGUGUUACCGAGGCAGGGAUGAUGAUAUUUUUAUUACUACUAUUGUCAUUUGCUAUGUUAAAUAAUUCUGAACAUACCCAUAUACAAUAAAUUUGGUUUUGCUAUUUAUCUCGAAAUGAGGAUUUUAUUGCUACUAUGCUACUGACCGAGGUGUCUGAUGCAUGGAUGAGGAUUUUUUUUAUUACUACUAUUAGAUGAGGAUUUUUUUUAUUACUACUAUGGUCAUUUCUUAGAUCGAUAAUUUCGGAUGGGCCGUCCGUAUAAAUUUGCUUGUGCUACUUACUGAUGCAUCCGAUCUUUAGAUGAGGAAUUCUCUUUUCUAUUACUCCCGGUGCGGCCUGGGUGGCAUACAUCUGGCCGUGUUUCCACAAGUCAUCAUGUUUUUUUUUGAGGGGCGGUGUAUUAUACUUAUUAGCAAUAUUUUGUUUGAUAAAUAAUUCCAGGUGGCCAUGCGGAAUUUUUUCUUACUAAUAUUAUCAUUUACCCUAUAAUAAUUACAUCCAGACCUACUGUCACACUCAAAUUUCAAGAACGAAAUAGAGUGCAUAAAAGACUCAUGUCCGCCCCAGAAUCAGUCA
rnacentral:lncRNA from 1 species